ensembl:lncRNA novel transcript
CUGUCCCUCUCUCGGCUUGCACUAAGGAGGAGGUCACGUGAGCACACAGUGAGAAGGCGGAGGACCAUCUGCAAGCAGGAAGAGAGCCCUCGCUAGAACCCCCCACGGUGGCAUCUGAUAGUGGACUUCUAGCUUCCAGAACUGAACUCAUAAAUGUCACAUCAGGCUGCCUCUUGGUGAAUUUUUAAUCAACGGGGAGAAUUUCAGCUACAAAUAGACCAAGAAUCAAGAGGCCCACUAUUGAUCGGUCAAAGUGGCACUUAUGAACCUGAGGUUGAAGCAGUUUGGAUAAAAGGAUUCUGGGCUUUCGAUGGCCCCAGAGACAUCUUUUUCCAUCAAGUCCAGGCUUGCUGAUCGGUACAGCUGAGAACAUGUUGAAUUUGAUGUGCCUGUGGAUAUUUGAGUCUGGAACAUUGAAGACAAGUUUGGUCUGGAGAUGUAGACUGGGGAUAUCUCAGCACACAGAUGAUAACUGAAAUGAUGGAGCGGAUGAUAUAAACUGGAGAGAGUCUGGUGUGGGAAGAGUCUUCCCUGAGGUGGCCGAAAGAUGUAAUUCUUACUCCAAAGACUGAAAUAGAGACAAGAGAAGCUGAAGUUACAGGGUUUUGUCAUUGGGAAGACAGUAGAGUGUGUCAUAUCCCAAGAGUGAAGCAAGGACAAACCAAAGAACAACUGGGAAGAUCUGGGAGAAAAAGGAUGGAGAUACCUGAAGACCAAAAUUUAUACCACCUCUAAGGAGAGCAGCCAUCUUCCUCCCUGUCCUGAGCAGGAAUAAACAAAGACUGCAUAAACCCUUGCAGCGGGGUCGGGGAUGUUAUCUCCACCCCAGCCAUCCCCUCAUGUCAUGGUGCCUGCUGUUUCCACAACCUCUCCUGCUAAGAAGAUGACCCUAGACAGUCAGGGCAAAGGAUAACAACCUUCCUGGGACAUUCCAAGAGGACUCUUUGUGCCAACACUCUGCCAUCCCCUGACAAGGAGCUUUGUCCCAUGGAAGAGUCUCUAACACCUCUGGAAGUUUCUAAGUCCGGUACAGCAAAGCCAGAACUCAGAAUACAUCUCUCAGAAGACAUGAAAUAAGGAGCUUUCCUGUGGGGCCAAUGCAGUGACAUGAGAAGCCGGUGUUGCUAGGAUGUGCUGCUGCGGUGGCCAGGACUUUUCCUUGUUCUGGCAUCCCCAGAACCAAGCACGAUGCCAGCUUCCGGCUGCUGCUUUUAGUAUUUGUUAAAGGAAUGAACAGCUCUUCUCAAAGCUCCCAAUCAUACCUCGAUGUAGAGGACUGAAAACAGCUGAGAGCUUUGCCUCUUCUCCUGGGACAUCAGUAUUUUAAAAACAGAUCAAAGCGACAUGGAAGAAGUUCAAUUACAUUGAAUGGUAGAGUUCCAGACAGCAUUUGAUCCUUUCCUUUGAGCAAAGGACCUUCUCUAUCCCUAAAACCAAAUCACAGAAGCCUGUGGCCUGUCAGGGCUGCUGGAAAUGGUGGUUUCAGACUCUUGCUUGGGAGCAUGACACUGAAAACAGAAAUAGCUUCCAGAAGACUUCAGAUAAGUUCAUGGAUAAUAGAGCCAAAAAUGAUCACUAAAAGGGAAGUCAGAAAGAUUCAGAGCUCCAUCUUUAGACAGGUAAAAUCUGAUUGAACAACAGCAGCUGCCUUCAUCAAGGGAGCCUGGAGAGCAAACAGCGGAAAAACAGUCAUCUGGCAACAUGUUGCAGGAAAAAGACAUUACAAAAGAAUAACAAGCUUGAGAGAGACAGGGCGGAACGCCUCUCCCCGCCUAGCUGGGCCCUGUGGGCUCCCCUCCGCAACCCUAAGGCGGGAGGCCGAGGGCAGCGGGGAGUCGCGCUUCACCUUCGCCCCUCAUUUGACCCAUGGACUCAUUAAUGGAAGAACCGAGGCAAGCAAGUUCACGGGAAGAAAUGCGCCCUCCCAACUGGAGGCCACCAGCUGCCCACUCGGGAACACCUCAGGGUGCCAACUGCAUCUCUGCGGGGUCGCC